UAUAAGGAGACAGGACUUUUACUUUUUUAAUCUUCUGACCGUGGAUAUAGUCUUCCUUUGUCGAAAAAAAAAAGACGCUAUGUUAAAAACAAAAUACAAGAAUUGUGGAAUUAAAUUGCGUAUCAAGCACACUCCCGCUUCCUUUCCUCAGCCUUUACAGAUAUGCAACAUCCUUGCUGUACUAUCAUGCUUCAUUUACCGACAAAGCUUGAUUUUCAGAAAUUACAGUAAUUUAAAUAAAUUCUAAUACAACCA